UUCCUGCACUGCAGACAGAUUCUUUACCAACUGAGCUAUUAGGAUGUGGAUGGUGAGAUUACGAGGGGAGAGAGCGUAUGAGAACUCUGUAGCUAUAUGUUUUUCAUGUUGGAUUGUGUAUCUGUUUAUUAUGCAUUUGUGAGAGUUCCAAAUGUACUCUACAUAUGAUGAAUCCUUUGCCAAAUAUAUGUUUUGUAAAGAUGUUUUUGAUAUAAGUUGAAAUUUUUAUUUUUAAUGUAGUUCACUAAAGGAAAUUUUUGUUUUAUGGUUACUACAUUAUGUAUGUUAGCAAUUUUUUCCUUCCCAAGUCAUAAAAUAAUUAUGCUAUAUGUAGCAU
ensembl:lncRNA